rnacentral:rRNA from 1 species
AUUGAACGCUGGCGGAAUGCUUUACACAUGCAAGUCGAACGGCAGCACGGACUUCGGUCUGGUGGCGAGUGGCGAACGGGUGAGUAAUGUAUCGGAACGUGCCCAGUCGUGGGGGAUAACGUAGUGAAAAUUACGCUAAUACCGCAUACGAUCUAUGGAUGAAAGCGGGGGAUCGCAGGACCUCGCGCGCUUGGAGCGGCCGAGAGCGGAUUAGGUAGUUGGUGGGGUAAAGGCCCACCAAGCCAACGACCUGUAGCUGGUCUGAGAGGACGACCGGCCACACUGGAACUGAGACACGGUCCAGACUCCUACGGGAGGCAGCAGUGGGGAAUUGUGUACAAUGGUCGAAAGCCUGAUCCAGCCAUACCGCGUGCAGGAUGAAGGCCCUCGGGUUGUAAACUGCUUUUGUACAGAACGAAAAGGUUUCUACUAAUACUAGGAGCUCAUGACGGUACUGUAAGAAUAAGCACCGGCUAACUACGUGCCAGCCGCCGCUGUAA